AUGGGCAGGGGAAUAAAGAGUGUGCCGCUUGUUGCCCCGAUGUCCCUGCUACACUGGGGGUCACCCACCUGGCCCCAUGCUGCUGCGGGUGGGCAGGAAGGGCCCCCAUCUUACAGCGGGAGACCCCGGGUGCUUCGCACGAGGGUGUGCCGAGCCCACCGCCUCCACCCACGGCCGCACCUCUCCGGGCUCAGGGCCAGCCAGCGGCCCGCUCCCCAGCAGAGGAGGAGCUCUCUCCAGGGCAGAUUCGCGCCGGCUCCCAUUACCCUGCUGACCUGGAGCCUCAGUUUCCUCAUCUGUGCCGCAGGGAAACCAACAGCGUCCACUCACAAUGGCGGCUUUAGAGGGUUCAGAGAACUCGUGCACAGACGGUGCCUGGCACACGCUGGAGCAGCGGCGCGGCCGCCUCGGCGCCGCCUCUCCGCCCGCCCCCCGCGCUCGGGACCGCACGACCCAGCGCCAGCUGGGCGCUUGUCGCGUCACCUCGACGGAGGGAAACUGAGGCGGGGGCUCCGCAGCCAGGCUCCGUGCGGCACCCAGUGGGCACCCGCCCACUGCGGGCUUCGCGCUGCUUAAGAAACUUGCCCGUCCUCUCAGCAAGGCGGAUCACCCACCCUCCAGAAAACAGACGGGUGUCUGCCUCCCCACCCCCUGGUUGUCGGGAGCGUUAAAUCAGUCGGGUGAUGGGCGGCUGGCCCUCGGAGGUGAUCACCGCGCCAGUCCCAGGGUUCCAGGUCCACCCGCGUCCCCCCCCCGCCCCGCCCCAGCCCCAACCGACGCCGCGGGGCCUCAAAGGCCCAGGAGAAUGUGACCCUGGCUCUGGCCUGCCUCUCUUCACCCAGCCCGGGAACAAAGAGCAGCGCCGGAGCCCAGAACUGGCCACUGCUGGCUGUGGGUGGGGGUUGGAAAGGGACGCUUGGAGGUUGGGCACGGCCAGAGCAGGAGUGGGUCCUGGGAGCUGUGGGCUUUGGGGAUGGGUACCUUUCUUCUUCCCCAGGCGUAGGGAGGCUGGGCUCUGGCUUCUAUUAGAAUGAACCCCUGUUCCCAAGGCAGAACCCAGCGGCAGGAAGUGGGGGUGGGUCUCUGGAGACUGGACUGCUGGCUAGGGGGGUACUGGAGGCCCCCUGCUCCCUCCACCUUGGGCACUGAGCCCAGCUCCACCCUGGUUCUGGGCUGAGGCAAGUGUCUCCUGCAAGUCUUCAAAACAAGGUGACCUGAGGCUCCUCCCUGGUCUCCCUCUGGCCUAGGGGGAGGGCAGUGGGCAGGUGCUAAAGAAUGUUACUUGGGCAGGGUUGCCAAUGACAGCCAAGAGUCAGUCUGAAUUCCCACUUCCCAGACCAUCCUGCCCUUGUGGUCCCCAUCUCCAGAAGGGCCGGUAGCGG
rnacentral:lncRNA from 1 species